GCCCCCAUAGCUCAGAGGAUAGAGCGCUGCCCUCCGGAGGCAGAGACCCGCGUUCGAGUCGCGGUGGGGGUG
rnacentral:tRNA from 1 species